AUUGAACGCUGGCGGCAGGCCUAACACAUGCAAGUCGAGCGGUAGAGAGGUGCUUGCAUCUCUUGAGAGCGGCGGACGGGUGAGUAAUGCCUAGGAAUCUGCCCUGGUGGUGGGGGAUAACGUUCGGAACGGACGCUAAUACCGCAUACGUCCUACGGGAGAAAGCGGGGGAUCUUCGGACCUCGCGCCAUUAGAUGAGCCUAGGUCGGAUUAGGUAGUUGGUGAGGUAAAGGCUCACCAAGCCGACGAUCUGUAGCUGGUCUGAGAGGACGACCAGCCACACUGGGACUGAGACACGGCCCAGACUCCUACGGGAGGCAGCAGUGGGGAAUUUUUGGACAAUGGGCGCAAGCCUGAUCCAGCAAUGCCGCGUG
rnacentral:rRNA from 1 species